rnacentral:rRNA from 1 species
UUCGGGGUACUCGAGCGGCGAACGGGUGAGUAACACGUGAGUAAUCUGCCCCAGGCUCUGGGAUAGCCACCGGAAACGGUGAUUAAUACCGGAUAUGACAACCGAUCGCAUGAUCUGGUUGUGGAAAGUUUUUCGGCCUGGGAUGUGCUCGCGGCCUAUCAGCUUGUUGGUGAGGUAAUGGCUCACCAAGGCUUCGACGGGUAGCCGGCCUGAGAGGGUGACCGGCCACACUGGGACUGAGACACGGCCCAGACUCCUACGGGAGGCAGCAGUGGGGAAUAUUGGACAAUGGGCGGAAGCCUGAUCCAGCAACGCCGCGUGAGGGAUGACGGCCUUCGGGUUGUAAACCUCUUUCAGCACAGACGAAGCGAAAGUGACGGUAUGUGCAGAAGAAGGACCGGCCAACUACGUGCCAGCAGCCGCGGUAAUACGUAGGGUCCGAGCGUUGUCCGGAAUUAUUGGGCGUAAAGGGCUCGUAGGCGGUCUGUCGCGUCGGGAGUGAAAACCAGGUGCUUAACACCUGGCCUGCUUCCGAUACGGGCAGACUAGAGGUACUCAGGGGAGAAUGGAAUUCCUGGUGUAGCGGUGAAAUGCGCAGAUAUCAGGAGGAACACCGGUGGCGAAGGCGGUUCUCUGGGAGUAUCCUGACGCUGAGGAGCGAAAGUGUGGGGAGCGAACAGGAUUAGAUACCCUGGUAGUCCACACCGUAAACGUUGGGCGCUAGGUGUGGGACACAUUCC